rnacentral:rRNA from 1 species
CCUACGGGAGGCAGCAGUGAGGAAUAUUGGUCAAUGGCCGGAAGGCUGAACCAGCCAUGCCGCGUGAAGGUCAGUGCCCUAUGGGCGUUAAACUUCUUUUGUGCGGGAGCAAUAAUGGUCACGUGUGGCCAGACUAGAGUACCGUACGAAUAAGCAUCGGCUAACUCCGGGCCAGCAGCCGCGGCAAUACGGGGGAUGCAAGCGUUAUCCGGAUUUAUUGGGUUUAAAGGGUGCGUAGGCUGUGAGGUAAGUCAGCGGUGAAAUGCCCCCGCGCAACGGGGUGAAGUGCCAUUGAUACUGCCUUGCUGGAAUGCGGAUGACGUGGGAGGAAUGUGUGGUGUAGCGGUGAAAUGCAGAGAUAUCACACAGAACACCGAUUGCGAAGGCAUCUCACGAAUCCGCGAUUGACGCUGAUGCACGAAAGCGUGGGUAUCAAACAGGAUUAGAUACCCGAGUAGUC